GCCAGGCGUGGUGGCGGGCGCCUGUAAUCCCAGCUACUCGGGAGGCUGAGGCAGGAGGAUCCCUUGAACCUGGGAGGCGGAGGUUACAGUGAACUGAGAUCUUGCCAUUGCACUCCAGCCUGGGCAACAGAGCGAGACUCCAACUCAAAAAAAAAAAAAAAAAACUAAAAAAAGGGUUACUUUUUUUUUUUGAGACAAAGUCUGGCUCUGUUGCCCAGGCUGGAGUGCAAUGGUGUGAUCUCAGCUCACUGCAACCUCCACCUCCUGGGUUCAAGCAAUUCUCCCGCCUCA
rnacentral:sRNA from 1 species